UACGGAGGGCGCAAGCGUUGUUCGGAAUCAUUGGGCGUAAAGCGCGUGUAGGCGGCCUUUUAAGUCGGAUGUGAAAGCCCGGGGCCCAACCCCGGAAUUGCAUUCGAUACUGAUUGGCUGGAGUCCCGGAGAGGAAGGCGGAAUUCCCGGUGUAGAGGUGAAAUUCGUAGAUAUCGGGAGGAACAUCAGUGGCGCAGGCGGCCUUCUGGACGGUGACUGACGCUGAGACGCGAAAGCGUGGGGAGCAAACAGG
rnacentral:rRNA from 1 species